CGCUGGGCUCUUCGAGUUGCUGCCGAGCUGGACCAGCGGCCUCGCGUGUCCCUCGCGCUGGGGUCCUGGGCUCGGGCUCGGAGCCCGGCGGGAGCGGCCCUGCGGGGCCCCGACGAGCUGAAUCGCCAGGGUGACCCAGCGUGGGGGCCCCGCGCGCCCGGUUGCCGAGCCGGCACGAACGAAGGUCACUGCUGUUGUGACCGCGGCUCCUGAGCGCUUGUCUCCCGCCGGACGGGGUGCACUUGGGCGCGGACGGACGACCCUGUGCCACCUCACGAGGGUUGGAAGUGUCGCCUGAGGCCGGGGCGCCGGAUUCAGAGUAUUCCUCGGCCCGGCCCGCCCCUCCCCUCCUCCAGCGACGCGGCACCGCCCCACGCGCGGAGCUCCGCUGGGAGUGGUGUUUGCGGACUGCCCCGCGUGGCGUGGACGCUCCAGGGCUCUCUGCUCAGUGCAUCGACGCAGUUCAAAUACCUGCAACACUGUCUGCACAAGGGCGGCCUCUAUUAAUGCGUAUUUGUGGGUUUAAUGAAUGAAUAAAAGUAGUUACUGUGGUCCCGGGUCUUCCUUCUGGAGUGGGCUCGUCACAGGAUUUGCCGUUUACCCCCUAGUUAGUUCCGUGCCCUAGAGCGCCCUCAGCGGCCUCCAGGUGACACGCCAGCAGAAGCCUGGCAGGAUGGCUGUGGACCCAGGGGAGUCGGCUGGUCAGUUUGUCUAGCCCGAAUGGGGUCCCCAGGGGCUUGCAGUGGAGAAGGUGGAGCUGGAGGAGGACAGCCCUGGAGUCAGGGCCUCAGCUUUUGGGACAACCAGCCCCCUGCCUGGGAGAUCUUCAGGCAGCGCUUCAGGCGCUUCUGCUACCAGGAGACCCCUGGACCCAGGGGGGCGCUGCGCCGGCUCCGCGAGCUGUGCGGCCAGUGGCUGCGGCCCGAGACGCGCCGCAAGGAGCAGAUCCUGGAGCUGCUGGUGCUGCAGCAGUUCCUGACCAUCCCGCCCGCGGAGCUCCAGGCCCGGGCGCGGGAGCAGCACCCGGAGAGCGGGGAGCAGCACCCGGAGAGCGGGGAGCAGGCGGUGGCCGCGCUGGAGGACCUGGACAGAAAGAGGAGACACGUCUGAUGUGCUUGUGGGUGGCUGGGAACAAAACUUCCUCAGUUGUGGAUCUCUGAGGGAGCAAGGGGACAGCCAGCACUCAGGAGGAGACUGAGCUUCUUGCUAAGCCAGCCCUGAAAAGACGGAAAGGAUGGGAACAGCAGAAUCAGAUUUGAAAAGGUUUCAGCCUGUGCUCUGGAACAGGAAAUCCUUUUACAGACAGUGACCCUUCAGACACUGGAUGAAGAAUCUUCAUACGCAUGGGUUCAGCCCCCAGGGGUCCAGUUCAAGAGCAAAGGACCUGAGCCCCAACCAUCAGAGGAAGGAGAGGCCAGUUUGCCCUGGAGGGUUUUUUGUGGCACCUGCAUUUUCUACUGGAUGAUUGUCAAGCUUCUUUCCAGGCUCAGGGCUCACACACCACUCACCUCGCAGACACUGAAAUUCUUCUAGAGGCCGUUCGCCUCGCUGGACAUAAGCAGGAAAUAAUGCAGCUUUUAGAUCCAGAAGAGACCAGAACAGAAUGCACUCUCUCCUUUCUCAGGCCUUUGUUAGGUGCCGACGCAGUGCCAACCACAGAAGGGAAAUGAUGCAAAAAACGUUGAGCAGAUGCAAAAUGGGCAUGCUUCCGAGAUGAAAAGUGCAUUCUUGGACAGAAUUAUUUUAAUUUAAUUUAAUUUUAUUUUAUUAUCUUAUUUUAUUUCACUCAGAGAACAGAGGCUUGAUUUGCAGCAUGUCUCAGACCACUGCUCCUGACUUCCUACUGGAUUUACUGUGUUUAUAGGCAACAUAAUUCCCUGUCAGUAAUGAAAAACUGGCCCAACUAUGGUAAGAAUAUUGAAUUUAAGUCUCCCUUAGGUUAUCUAGUCUUCUAAUUUGUCAUUAUGUCACUUUUCUGCUCUACUAAGACCCUUCACACUUUGCUGGUCAUAGAGAAUGUUUCUCCUGUUUCUAUC